rnacentral:rRNA from 1 species
AUACGGAGGAUCCGAGCGUUAUCCGGAUUUAUUGGGUUUAAAGGGAGCGUAGGUGGUUUGUUAAGUCAGUUGUGAAAGUUUGCGGCUCAACCGUAAAAUUGCAGUUGAAACUGGCAGUCUUGAGUACAGUAGAGGUGGGCGGAAUUCGUGGUGUAGCGGUGAAAUGCUUAGAUAUCACGAAGAACUCCGAUUGCGAAGGCAGCUCACUAGACUGUUACUGACACUGAUGCUCGAAAGUGUGGGUAUCAAACAGGAUUAGAUACCCUGGUAGUCCACACAGUAAACGAUGAAUACUCGCUGUUUGCGAUAUACAGUAAGCGGCCAAGCGAAAGCAUUAAGUAUUCCACCUGGGGAGUACGCCGGCAACGGUGAAACUCAAAGGAAUUGACGGGG